GCCCUUUUCAUUUAUCCAUUUCAGCCUAUAUUGGUUCCUGCCGGGUUCGCCCGGCUAUGGCGAUAAAUUGUUGCGUGCAAUAGGCACAGCGGACCCGGGGGCGGUACCCGGCGGCUCCACCAUCACCACCUUGCUUUGGGCAAGGGCUCUGUUGUCGCAGAGGUGCUGAUGGGGCCGAACUAGGAUCGACGUGUGUUGAAAAACGCAGUUUUCGCCCGGGCUGAGUAACCCGUCAAAGGCUUAAAACACACAAGUGCCAACGACAACGAAGCACUCGCUCUCGCGGCGUAAUGUGACGGCCUAACGGCCUGAAUUUACAAAGCUAAAGCGCGGUUGGGCCGACCGGGCAACAGAACGGAUUCCGG
rnacentral:tmRNA from 1 species